UCCAAAAAAAACCCUGGGUUUCCGUGUCCAACGUUUGACCGUUCGUCUUAUUUAAAAACAUUAUGAAAAAAAAUUAAAAAGACAAGUCACGUAUAAAGUAUUAAUCAUGUUUAUCAUCUAACAACAAUAAAAAUAGAAAUUAUAAAAAAAAUUCUUAUAAUACGGACAGUCAAAUGUUAGACACAGAAACCCAGGGUUUGUGUUUUU
rnacentral:pre_miRNA from 1 species